rnacentral:rRNA from 1 species
GAUGAACGCUGGCGGCGUGCUUAACACAUGCAAGUCGAACGGAAAGGCUCCUGCUUGCAGGGGUACUCGAGUGGCGAACGGGUGAGUAACACGUGGGUGAUCUGCCCUGCACUUCGGGAUAAGCCUGGGAAACUGGGUCUAAUACCGGAUAGGACGAUGGUUUGGAUGCCAUUGUGGAAAGUUUUUCGGUGUGGGAUGAGCUCGCGGCCUAUCAGCUUGUUGGUGGGGUAAUGGCCUACCAAGGCGUCGACGGGUAGCCGGCCUGAGAGGGGGUACGGCCACAUUGGGACUGGGAUACGGCCCAGACUCCUACGGGAGGCAGCAGUGGGGAAUAUUGCACAAUGGGCGCAAGCCUGAUGCAGCGACGCCGCGUGGGGGAUGACGGCCUUCGGGUUGUAAACUCCUUUCGCUAGGGACGAAGCGCAAGUGACGGUACCUGGAGAAGAAGCACCGGCUAACUACGUG